UAAGGACCUUCUCCAAUCAGAAACCGUUGGUGGACAGUACAAUCCGUGCAGCAGUAAACAAACGCACUGCUGCAUACAAUGCUGGUCUCUCGUCGGGGAACAUCAGCAAGUACAAAGCAUCAUGCUAUGAUCUCAGACGGGCAGUAAAAGCCGCAAAACACAGAUACAUGGAAUGCAGAGAGUCCCAUUUCCAACUAAAUGACUCCCGAUGCAUGUGGCAGGGACUAAGGACCAUCUGUGCCUUUGGAAACAAAUCCUCUGCAGCUAUGAGAGCUGACCCAUCGCUGGCUGACGAGUUAAACUCUUUCUACGGCCGCUUUGAAUGCAACCGAGGCAGCGUGUUCCGAGGUCCUGUGCUGAUCAGCUCGCUGGUUUGUUUACAUCUAUUUUUAAUGAGUCCCUUGCUACCUCGGUGGUUCCCACCUCCUUUAAAAAAAUCUGUCAUCAUCCCUGUGCCUAAGAACAAUAAACCCUCUUGCCUGAAUGACUAUCGUCUGGUUGCCCUCACAUCAAUAGUCAUGAGGGUCUUUGAGGGACUGGUUAAAAACUUCAUCUGCUCCUCCAUCCCGGAUACUUUGGACCCUCUCCAGUUUGCCUAUCGCCCCAACAGAUCCACUGAUGAUGCCAUCUCUCACAUCCUGCACUCUUCUCUCACGCACAUUGACAGCAGCAAUGGGAACUAUGUAAGGCUGCUAUUCAUCGACUAUAGCUCAGCUUUCAAUACUAUAGUCCCCAUCAAGCUAGCUUCUAAACUCAUGGACCUCGGCCUGAAUUCUUCACUCUGCAACUGGAUUCUUGAUUUCCUCACCGGUAGACCUCAAGUGGUGAAAGUAGGCCAGUACACCUCCAGCUCCAUCACCCUGAAUGUGGGAGCUCCACAGGGCUGUGUCCUGACUUCCCUGCUCUUCACUCUCUACACACAUGACUGUGUGUCUUCCCACAGCUCCACCUAUUAUCAAAUUUGCUGAUGAUACUGUGGUGCUGGGCCUCAUUUCCAACAAUAAUGAAGCCGCAUACUUGGAUGAGGUAGAGAAACUCACAUCAUGGUGCCAG
ensembl:lncRNA